GACUGUAGGACGACGUCACGAGAAGAGG
rnacentral:piRNA from 1 species